GAUGAACGCUGGCGGCGUGCCUAAUACAUGCAAGUCGAGCGAACAGACGAGGAGCUUGCUCCUCUGACGUUAGCGGCGGACGGGUGAGUAACACGUGGAUAACCUACCUAUAAGACUGGGAUAACUUCGGGAAACCGGAGCUAAUACCGGAUAACAUGUUGAACCGCAUGGUUCAACAGUGAAAGACGGUCUUGCUGUCACUUAUAGAUGGAUCCGCGCCGCAUUAGCUAGUUGGUAAGGUAACGGCUUACCAAGGCAACGAUGCGUAGCCGACCUGAGAGGGUGAUCGGCCACACUGGAACUGAGACACGGUCCAGACUCCUACGGGAGGCAGCAGUAGGGAAUCUUCCGCAAUGGGCGAAAGCCUGACGGAGCACCGCCGCGUGAGUGAAGAAGGUCUUCGGAUCGUAAAACUCUGUUAUUAGGGAAGAACAAAUGUGUAAGUAACUAUGCACGUCUUGACGGUACCUAAUCAGAAAGCCACGGCUAACUACGUG
rnacentral:rRNA from 1 species